AUUGAAAGCUGGCGGAAUGCUUUACACAUGCAAGUCGAACGGUAGAGGGGGCAACCCCUCGAGAGUGGCGAACGGGUGAGUAAUAUAUCGGAACGUGCCCAGUCGUGGGGGAUAACGUAGCGAAAGUUACGCUAAUAACGCAUACGACCUAAGGAUGAAAGCGGGGGAUCGCAAGACCUCGCGCGAUUGGAGCGGUCGAUAUCUGAUUAGGUAGUUGGUGGGGUAAAGGCUCACCAAGUCAACGAUCUGAAGCUGGUCUGAGAGGACGACCAGCCACACUGGAACUGAGGCACGGUCCAGACUCCUACGGGAGGCAGCAGUGGGGAAUUUUGGACAAUGGACGCAAGUCUGAUCCAGCCAUUCCGCGUGCAGGAUGAAGGCCCUCGGGUUGUAAACUGCUUUUGUACGGAACGAAAAGGUCUCUCUUAAUACGGGGGGCUCAUGACGGUACCGUAAGAAUAAGCACCGGCUAACUACGUGCCAGCCGCCGCGGUAA
rnacentral:rRNA from 1 species